GACGAACGCUGGCGGCGUGCUUAACACAUGCAAGUCGAACGGAAAGGCCCUUCGGGGUACUCGAGUGGCGAACGGGUGAGUAACGCGUGGGUGAUCUGCCCUGCACUUUGGGAUAAGCCUGGGAAACUGGGUCUAAUACCGAAUAGGACCACGCGCUUCAUGGUGUGUGGUGGAAAGCUUUUGCGGUGUGGGAUGGGCCCGCGGCCUAUCAGCUUGUUGGUGGGGUAAUGGCCUACCAAGGCGACGACGGGUAGCCGGCCUGAGAGGGUGACCGGCCACACUGGGACUGAGAUACGGCCCAGACUCCUACGGGAGGCAGCAGUGGGGAAUAUUGCACAAUGGGCGCAAGCCUGAUGCAGCGACGCCGCGUGAGGGAUGACGGCCUUCGGGUUGUAAACCUCUUUCAAUAGGGACGAAGCGCAAGUGACGGUACCUAUAGAAGAAGCACCGGCCAACUACGUG
rnacentral:rRNA from 1 species